rnacentral:tRNA from 1 species
GAUGUAUUAGCUCAGUGGUAGAGCUCUGGCAAGGAGUGCUAGAAGUCAUAGGUUCGAAUCCUAUAUGCAUCCC